GGGGCUGUAGCUCAGAGGGAGAGCACGUGCCUUGCAAGCGUGAGGCACUGGGUUCGAUCCUCAGCACCA
rnacentral:tRNA from 1 species